GGUGAUUUGUUGGACGCUAGCGGCGGAUGGGUGAGUAACACGUGGGCAAUCUGCCCUAAAGACUGGGAUACCACUUGGAAACAGGUGCUAAUACCGGAUAACAACAUGAAUCGCAUGAUUCAAGUUUGAAAGGCGGCGCAAGCUGUCACUUUAGGAUGAGCCCGCGGCGCAUUAGCUAGUUGGUGGGGUAAAGGCCUACCAAGGCAAUGAUGCGUAGCCGAGUUGAGAGACUGAUCGGCCACAUUGGGACUGAGACACGGCCCAAACUCCUACGGGAGGCAGCAGUAGGGAAUCUUCCACAAUGGACGCAAGUCUGAUGGAGCAACGCCGCGUGAGUGAAGAAGGUUUUCGGAUCGUAAAGCUCUGUUGUUGGUGAAGAAGGAUAGAGGCAGUAACUGGUCUUUAUUUGACGGUAAUCAACCAGAAAGUCACG
rnacentral:rRNA from 1 species